AAGCAGAAAUAUGCUACUCGAACUUCACCACCAAGAUAAAUGGUGCCUUGUAUCCGCUUGAUCCAUACGGUUUGAGUGGCCGCUACGCUGGUUUAUGGUCAAAUUAUAGCAACAUAGAUAUCAGCCAGGGCAUGAGUUACCAGGUGUGGAUGCUGAGUUAUAACGCUGAAACGCCAAAAUCGUUUUUCCUGGCACUCAUUGCCAUCCGCAAUCCAAGUGAGUAUUGGGAUCUCACAAGACCGGUCAUCCUGUGGAAGGCCCGACAGACGAGGCUUGUAGGUGAGAAUGCCACUUUACAAUUUACCGCAGAUGGAGAGCUUAAAAUCGAAGAAGACGAUGAUGUCGUAUGGUCCACGAAAACUGCAAACAGAGGCGUCCGGUGGCUCUGUAUUUCCAAUCGCGCAACCAUAAUGCUCCUGGAUGAAAGCGGAAGCAAUGUCAUCUGGCAAAGCAGCGACGAACCUUCUGAUACUGUGCUGUUGCAACGAGCACUUACGCCGGGACAAAAGCUCGUAAGUUGGAAUACUUCAGAAGACAGCAGCGAUGGCCUCUAUAGUCUCGUCAUAGAGAAAAACAGGCUGCAACUGUUGUACGCCUCGCAACCGUACUGGAGCUUCGGUAAUAUUACCAGCGAGGAAGAUAUGUUUGCGGUGUUCUGCAGGCAAAACGAUGGUAUCGUGUCUCUGGAUCUGCGAGCCAACUUCUCAC
rnacentral:lncRNA from 1 species